rnacentral:tRNA from 1 species
UCCCUGAUAGCUCAGUUGGUAAAGAAUCUGCCUGCAAUGCAGGAGACCCUGGUUUGAUUUCUGGAUUGGGAA